UAGAAUAAACUAUAUUUAGAGACACAAUCUUUCAUCCAAAAAGGUUUUUUAAUAAUAUGUUUAGUCCUUCUAUCAUUACUUUACGACCUAAAAGGAACCUUGUCCUCAAUGUUAUGGGUUAAAGAGGGGCCAUUUUGUAGUAUCCAAAAGGGGGUGCCAUUAGGGGAAUUUAUGGUGCUUGGGUGAGGUGUCGUAGUUUUAAUGGUGGAGGAUAAAAAAUAUGGUUAAACAUUGAAGGAGUCUUGAGAGUAUGUGAUAAGGAGUCUUCAGAUGCAGGUUCCGCUCCAUGGUACAUACGGAACUGAGAAACAUGAAUAAUUGGAUGGAUUUUGGAAGAAGUUGGGAGGUACAACUCAUAUGUUAUUGACCCAAUAUGAUGCAAUACCUUGAAGGGCCCAAAAUAGCGCUAGGACAACUUUUGUGAUUCUCUCUUUUGCACCGAAGUUUGCUGAUAUGGGUUUAAAUGGAGUAAGACGAAGUCUUCGGUCUCAAAGCAUUAUCAACCUACGACGACUUUGUUGAUAGUCCUUUUGUGUAGUUUAAAAGAGAUGGAGGAGGUAGACCAUACAAUUCUUUGAAGGGGGACAUUCCAAUGGCUGAAUGGAGAGAGGAGUUGUACCAAAAGUCAGCAAGGUGUGGGAACUUGAACUAUUUAAGGGGGUGGUCCUGUGUGAAAUAAUGAAGGUAAGUUUCUAAGCUUAUGUUUACUACUUUUGUUUGCUUGUCCGUGUCAGGGUGGCUUGUUGUAUUGUGUUUCAGAAUGGUGCGUUGUAAGUGGAAAAGUUCCUUCCAAAAAGUGUUGAGGAAAAUAGGGUCUCUAUCAGAAACAAUGGAUUUUGGAAUGCUAUGGAGUCUAUAGAUCUCAGUAGAAAAAUGAGUGGCAAGAUCUGGUGCGGUGAACCUUGUUGGUAAGGCAAUGAGAUUGACGAAUUUUGUUAAUCGAUCACAAAUGACCCAGAUCACCGUGUGGCUGAACGAAUAAGGUUGAGCAACAUUGGACAAAAGUUUUGACAUAUUUGGAUAUACCCGACCAAUUGAAAGAUGCUGAAAGGCGAGCAAGUAUUGAUUGGAUACCAAAAUGGCCAGCGAUGGGGGUUGAGUGAUUCUCUUAAAGUAUAACUUGUUAGAUUUCAUGAACUGGUGUACCUCUUGAGUUGAGUCAGAAUCAAAUGAACUGGCGAUAAGAUGGUGAUGAGUACAACUUUGUCUUAUGCGUGUCUCUGACUGAAGGUGUCUGCAACUUGAUUAAAUUUUCCAGGGUCAUCGUAGGGUCAUCGAUUGGUCAUGGAAGGCAACAUUUGUAAGGAUACCUUAGCAUUCGAAGGAACGAUCAUCAUUAACCGUAGGCUACAACGACAGGUCAUCGAGGGACAAAAUCAUAUAUUCGCAAGCAACAUCCGAGGGACAAUGAUUUAUUUUAUAGGGACAUGAUGAUUUAAUCGAAGGGUCUGUGCUAAGUGUAUCCCCACAUUCGCGGGACAUGACCAUAAUACCGUAAGGCAACAAAGAGAGGUCCAAGAUCACAUAUUCAAAGGCAAUAUUGUACAAUCAAUUAGGUAGUUGUAAUCAAUUAGGUAAUUAGGUCCAUAUUAUAAUCAAUUAGGUAAUUAGGUCCACAUUAUAAUCAAUUAGGUAAUUAGGGUGAAUCUCCCCAAGGGUAUCCCACAAAUAAAGUGGAAUACCUAGCAAACUACCUUCUCCGGGAGUAUGUGAACCCUUACAAAAUUCAGCAAACAGGUCAGAAUACCAAAUCAGGGUGCAAUCAAGAGUUGCACCACAUAAAAGGCAUCACAACAGAAAUGAUUACAAUAAAACAUGUCAGCUAAGCAAAAAUCAGAACGAAAAAAUCAGCGACUGUCAUAUUCGCUGCUGCCUCGCCUAGCGAGGGCUUGACGAACACUCGCUACAUGUUCGCUUAGCGAUGUGCUAGCGAACGGCUGCAGGUUUUGAAUUUUAGAACAGUACGAUUCCAGCAAGCUUCACACCCUAUGGCAUCCAUCACAGAAAUUACAUGGUUAACGUUCAAGAUAUUCAUACAUACUUAAAUUCACAUGCAAAACUUAAGAUAUUUUUAUAAAUUCAAUCAUAAUGCCACAUGCAAAUUAAGAACAUAAAGCGGUAAAUAGUAAUGCAAACCUGUUUGCAAUUGAAUUUCAACCUGGAAUUGGCAAGUCACUCUUAGGGUUGGCCCCGGAUUGAGUUGGGCGGAGGUAACCUUGGUGCAGAUGAGUUUCCUUCAGGGUUUCCUUUAGGGUUGCUCUGAAUUCUCUGGGUUAGCCUCCAGGGUUUGCUGUGUUGCUUCUGUUAGGGUUUCCUUGCUAGGGUUUCUGUCCGUCUGCCUCUCUCCUUUUUCUGAAUGAAGCUCUGCUAUUUAUAAUAAUUUUCGUGACCUGAUGGGCUCAGAAUGAAGCCCAGAAUUUUCUGGUAUUCGCAAGCUUCGCUAGGCGAGGGGCGUAGCGGAGGGCUCGCUAGGCGAAGGAGUUGCUCGCCUAGCGAGCAUGCCAGUUUGGGCCAUUUUCUGGAUUUGGCCACCUAUAUGAUGGGUCUUUGUUCCUUUAAGAUCAAUGCCUUGAAAAAUAAGUUGGAGUGCCUUGAAAAAUGCCUUGUAAUAUUAACGGGCAAAUUUUGGGGUAUGACAGCUGCCCCUGUACAAUAUUCUUGAACCGAGAGAGUUAGAAUGGUAUGUACGCCAUUCGUGGUCUGGAGGUGGAAGAUUAUUGAACACUAGAAUGCCCCAAAAAUUUGCACUUGUUAAUUAAAAGUUAGUCUUGAUGGAGAUGGGCUUAAAGAUGCCAUCCAGGAAGUUUGAUGCUGAAAGAUCAGAAUGGGUCAUACACUGCUAGGGAUAAAGGAUCAUAAUGGAUCAUACACUAGAUCGUAUCUGAAUCGCAGAAUGAGUUAUUCAUUAGGCGGGUGACUUCGCUGGGGAGGAAAGAUCAGAAUGGAUCGUACGCUAGAUCGUAUCUGGGUUGCAGAAUGAGCCGUACGUUAGGCUGUAUCUGACGAAGGUAGAAUCAGAAUGGAUCGUACGCUAGAUCGUAUCUGAGUUGAAGAUCCAAAUGGGUCGUGCGUUAGACCGUAUUGGAGUUGCAGAAUGAGCCGUACGUUAGGCUGUAUCUGAAAAAAGGGGUCAGAAUGGAUCGUACGUUAGAUCGCAUCUGAGUUGAAGAUCCAAAUGGGUCGUACGUUAGACCGUAUUGGAGUUGCAGAAUGAGUCGUACGUUAGGCUGUAUCUGAAGAAGAAAGUAGUCGUACGCUAGACUACACCCCGGAAUGUACCGUACGCUAGGCAAUAUCUGAGGAUUUGAAGGUCAGAAUGGAUCGUACGUUAGAUCGUAUCUGAGUUGCAGAAUGAGCCGUACGUUAGGCUGUAUCUGAAGAAGAAAGUAGUCGUACGCUAGACUACACCCCGGAAUGUACCGUACGCUAGGCAAUAUCUGACGAUUUGAAGGUCAGAAUGGAUCGUACGUUAGAUCGUAUCUGAGUUGCAGAAUGAGCCGUACGUUAGGCUGUAUCUGAAGAAGAAAGUAGUCGUACGUUAGACUACACCCCAGAAUGUACCGUACGCUAGGCAGUAUCUGAGGAUUUGAAGAUCCAAAUGGAUCGUACGCUAGACCAUAUUGGAGUUGCAGAAUGAGCCGUACGUUAGGCUGUAUCUGAAGAAGAAAGUAGUCGUACGCUAGACUACACCCCGGAAUGUACCGUACGCUAGGCAGUAUCUGAGGAUUUGAAGGUCCAAGUAGGUCGUACGCUAGACUGUAUCUGAGUUGCAGAAUGAGCCGUACGUUAGGCUGUAUCUGAAGAAGAAAGUAGUCGUACGCUAGACUACACCCCGGAAUGUACCAUUGUUUUCUUUAAUUUUGUAAAUGUUGUAUCUCUUGAUGUACUUUAUCGCACCGUGAAAAAUACCUGAGCGCAUCACAUACUCGAAGAUGCAACAGAGUCGCCACCAAAUUUUAUUUAUUCUCAAAGAAAAAGGAAAAUAUCGAUAAAAACCAACGGUAAGAGAAAAAGGUAAGGAAGACAAUUAUGUAAGGGGAAUGUAUUAGCACCCCUCAUAUCCAUUGUAUUCGAUGAUAACCAUUUUGAUUGUUCUUUGCUCGAAUGGGUGUUACUGUCUAAAAGUUACUUGUGAAUGAUAUGAAGGGAAAAAAGUUUAAGAAUCAGUGUGCUCGCCAAGGAUUCGGAUCCUCGUGUCUAUGUAUCCUCAUAGUGUAAUGAGAAAAUCAGAGCUUCAUAGUUUAUGGUAAAAAAUACGGAUUUGUUGGUUUAUGUUAGGGAACAACUAUAAUUGUAUCCUAGAAGUGUAUAAAUGUUAGUUGAUUCUGAUCCUUGUUUGGAUGCUCUAAGCUUUAGUCUGACUGCUAAGGAACAUAUUAUAACAGUUCUUUUCUGAAAAGAAGAGUUGUUUUGAAAAAGUUUUAAGUGUUAAAAGAAAAGGAAAAAGUUGAUUGAAUUGAAAAAGAAAAGAGAGAAUGUUGCUUGAAUUGAGAAAGUGUUAUUUAAAUUGUAAAAGAAAUAGUGAAAUGAGGAAAGUGUUGUUUGGACCAAGAUUGUGUUGUUUGAAUCUAUAGAAUAUGUGUGUUUGAAUCAAAGGGAGUAUGGCAUCGACCAAUAUAUGGUGUGGCUAAUGCAGAAUUGUAGGAUUUUGCAUAGAUCCAAGGAUCAAGACCUACAAAGGAUGUUUCCAGAGCAUGAGUCUCCACAAGGAAAUGCAUGAAUUUUUCCAUAGCAUAAGGCUCUUCAGGGCAAUGCAUGAGGUUUAUGAGAGCAUGAGGCUCCACAGGGAAAUGCAUGAGGUUUACCAGGACACAAGGCUCUAUAGGGCAAGAAUAAAAAAAAAAUUCCAUAACAUGAAGCUUCACACGUCAAUGCAUGAAAGUUGCAAGAUCAUGAUGCUCCACAGGGAAAUGCAUGAAAAUUGCUAGAGCUUGAGGCUCCACAGGGCAAUGCAUGAAGAUAUUGAUUCAGAAAUGGGUGUUUAACCAUGAGGUGACUAACCUAAAGGAAGUAUGGAUGUCAAAGAGAGUGUGUUUGGUCUAAAAGAGAAGUGUGUUAUGAAAUUAUGAUUAUCGAAGUGUUUGUGAAGAUGGUUGCAAUGUUGAGAUAUUAUCUGUGAUGAAGAAGAUUUGUCAAUCAUUUGACUUGAAUUGAGCAAAAGUCUAUGAAUAGAGGUGAAUAAUUUGAAUAACUGGGGCAUACGCCCCGUAUUCAAAGGUACUCGGAACAAAGAUAUGAAUAAUCCUUCUCAUCCUUCUCCGUUGCUUAAGGCUCGUGGCAUAUGAGUCACGUCAUGGCAAGUGUUGAAGAGUCUUUUUGUUGUGCUUAAUGUUCACAAUCUUCAAAGUCUUGUAAGAUGUCAUGAGCUUGUGUUUGACUUGAGUGUGAAGUCUAGAGUAUGAGUUUGUCUUGAAAGUUCCAAUGCAGUGCCAGUACAUAGGAUCAGUCCUAUCAAGUGAUCAAGAGGAUUUUUGAUCACAUGACUGGACCUAGGGAUCAGCCAGGUAAAUGGACUAUUUGAUCAAAGGCAACUUUGAUUAAUCAGUUAAUCAGGAAUAACAUAAGAAUGUGAAUCAAGCAUUUAGAUUUUUAAGUCUAAAACCUAAGUGUCAUACCCCAAUUUUUACCCCUAAGAUUCAUAACAUCUUAAUCAAGCAUUGCAUUCAUACUCUCAAUUCAUUAAUACCCUAAUGUCUCCUUGUUCACAAGCAUGGAUUUGAGUGAUUUUAUUCUUGAUAAUCUCUCCUUGUUUGUUUGCUCAAGCUAGGGUAGGGUAUCUCACUCAUUGUAUCACUCAUUGCUUUGCUUUCUACUAUUACUUGUGCUAUAUUUAACUUUAUUGGUCUAUUAUCAUUAUGUACUUGGCAUCUACAUUCAUUCAUCACUAACCUCAUGCGUUUAGAUAGAUCUUUGUUCUUGUGGUGUGCUUGUGUCUUUUGCAGUUAGGGCAUUAUGGUCUUAAUAAUUCAAGGAUUAUUAUUUGGCAUUGGAUAUCUUGAUGUGCAUGGAUCUCAACAUCAUUUGGCCUUUAUUUGUGCAAGUCAUCACAAGGAAUUGCUUCAUUGGCUCUAAACUUGUUAGGUUGACUUCCAAAGGUCUUAAAUUUUUCAUCAA